AAUGGGCGCAAGCCUGAUCUAGCCAUGCCGCGUGAGUGAUGAAGGCCCUAGGGUCGUAAAGCUCUUUCGCCUGUGAAGAUAAUGACUGUAGCAGGUAAAGAAACCCCGGCUAACUCCAUGCCAGCAGCCGCGGUAAUACGGAGGGGGUUAGCGUUGUUCGGAAUUACUGGGCGUAAAGCGCACGUAGGCGGACAUUUAAGUCAGGGGUGAAAUCCCGGGGCUCAACCCCGGAACUGCCCUUGAUACUGGGUGUCUUGAGUUCGAGAGAGGUGAGUGGAAUUCCGAGUGUAGAGGUGAAAUUCGUAGAUAUUCGGAGGAACACCAGUGGCGAAGGCGGCUCACUGGCUCGAUACUGACGCUGAGGUGCGAAAGUGUGGGGAGCAAACAGGAUU
rnacentral:rRNA from 1 species